GAGUAAUACAUAAGUAACCUGCCCUAGACAGGGGGAGUAACUAUUGGAAACGAUAGCUAAGACCGCAUAGGUACGGACACUGCAUGGUGACCGUAUUAAAAGUGCCUCAAAGCACUGGUAGAGGAUGGACUUAUGGCGCAUUAGCUGGUUGGCGGGGUAACGGCCCACCAAGGCGACGAUGCGUAGCCGACCUGAGAGGGUGACCGGCCACACUGGGACUGAGACACGGCCCAGACUCCUACGGGAGGCAGCAUG
rnacentral:rRNA from 1 species